rnacentral:rRNA from 1 species
CCUACGGGGUGCAGCAGUGGGGAAUAUUGGACAAUGGGCGAAAGCCUGAUCCAGCCAUGCCGCGUGUGUGAAGAAGGCCUUCGGGUUGUAAAGCACUUUCAGUGGGGAAGAAAGCCUUGGGGCUAAUACCCUCGAGGAAGGACAUCACCCACAGAAGAAGCACCGGCUAACUCCGUGCCAGCAGCCGCGGUAAUACGGAGGGUGCGAGCGUUAAUCGGAAUUACUGGGCGUAAAGCGCGCGUAGGCGGUCUGAUAAGCCGGUUGUGAAAGCCCCGGGCUCAACCUGGGAACGGCAUCCGGAACUGUCAGGCUAGAGUGCAGGAGAGGAAGGUAGAAGUCCCGGUGUAGCGGUGAAAUGCGUAGAGAUCGGGAGGAAUACCAGUGGCGAAGGCGGCCUUCUGGACUGACACUGACGCUGAGGUGCGAAAGCGUGGGUAGCAAACAGGAUUAGAUACCCUAGUAGUC